rnacentral:lncRNA from 1 species
CAGGUGACCGUACGGCGAUAGCAGGAGGUGUCAGACGCACAUGGUAGCAGGUGGCGCGGCGCUGGAGAGGCAGAGGCAUGCGUGAGGAGGCUGGUGGCUAGGGGUGGACUUAAGUGUAGCAGUAGCAACAGCAGCUAGGGUUUCCUGCUGUAAUUUUUUUUAAUUUUUUUGGGCUUUAGGUGUAGGUUUUUAUUUUUUACUGGGCCAGCAAAUUUGGGCUUCUACAUAUUUAAUUCUACUUCACUAAGAUUUAUUAGAAUAAUAGCCUAAAUCACUGAUCUGUCAAUCACUUAUGCAUAUAGCUUUUUUAUCACUGAAAGGUUAUCUCCUUCAAUCACGACCUUGCUGAGGCCCAAAUCCAACCCUAUCUGAACUGCCUAGAGACAUGCUAUCGCUCUCGCUGCUGCAAUAGGGGUAGGUAUGUGAUCAUUUAUAAUUAUUCUCGAACCCAUUAUCUUACCAUCCGUAUUACAGGCAAUUAACCUAAACAAUAUUUUUUUUUAUUUGGAAAGGUAAGCUGCAUCAAAGUUAAUCUUGUACCAAAAGGGUUCAAGUGGUCUCCACCUUUUCAUGCUAACUCACCUACCAGGUAAUUUUUUGUUAAUCCCCUCUAAGUCUUUUACAUACGAUCUGAUGAAAUUUGUUACCCUACUACUUGAUUAAUGACUCCCAUCAUGAAUGAUUUUAUUUAUGUCUGUCUAGAUAGCCCAAAUAGCGCAUGUUACUACCCUAAUCUGGGCCAUCGAACUUUCAUGGUAGAUUUUACCGACCCAGUUUCUAUAAUCAUCAUGCAAGAACUCCUAGUCCCACAUUAUAUUUAACUUCUUCCAAAUUUCUUUAACAGAAGUACAGUCACGAAACGCAAGCUUCAGAGUCUCAACACCAUCAGUACAUAUAGGGCAAGCCUUCGAAUUAUUAAUCCGUCUGUAAUGUAAUUUGUUGUUUGUUGGGAGAAAAUUGUUAAAAGCUCUCCAAUGUGUAAUCUUUAUUUUCUUUGGUAGAUUUGUCUACCAUAGUUUCUUGUAAAACUAUUGAAAUGUAUUAGGAUAGUUGUUAGCCAUUUGGCUAUCAUCCUCUUGUAUAAGCAUCUUGUAACCUCUCCUCACAGAGUACUCGCCCGUUGGUUCACCUCUCCAAACCAGCCUGUCUUAAAAAAGAUGACACGAUAGAGGAAUACAGAACACGUUCUCGGCCACUUCAGUAGACAAUAUUCUAGUAAUAGUAUCCACCUUCCAUUGGCU